UCAAAUUACAGAUUUAUGAAAUAUAGAAAUAAACUUAUAUUAUGCUUGAUGUCAUUGAUGUCAUUAAGAGGUAGAAAAGCAGUGGAAUACUUCAUGCACUUCCAAGGUUGGAAUCUGUCUUGGGACAAACGCAAAAAGAGAAGCCAUAAGAUGUCAAAGCGCUUAAUCGAAACGAAACAGAGCAUCAAGAACCUCGUCGUAGAGCGAGAAGCGGUGGCAGUCGAGCUGCAUCAUCUACGACCAGAAUUUCCGAAGAUGGCAGUUCAGGCCAACACGCUGAUUAUUAUACGGAAAUUUAUUGGAACAUGCAAAAUUUAAUAAAUUUAGAAGCAAUUCGUCUUCUCGAAGAAGUUGAAGGAGGAGCAGUGGUUAGGCGAUUAUUUCAUGCAAGAAAUGAUCUUUUCGAGUUAUCCAAUAAGGAUUUUAUCCGAUUAUACAAAGUAAAUAAAAGAAUAGCUGAAGAUAUCAGUAAUAUUGUGUCGGAAUAUAUUAAUGAACAACCAAGACGAUUAUCAGCAUUAGAUAUAAACACACAGGUGAUUCUGGAUAUGCCUUAAGACCCUGGUUAUUGACACCUAUCAUGAAUGCUGAACCAAACUCUUCUGAAGAUCACUAUAACAUAGCACAUAGACGAAUCCGAUCUCUUAUAGAAAGGACAAAUGGUUUAUUGAAAAUGCGUUUCCGCUGUUUAUUGAAACAUAGGGUAUUGCAUUAUAAACCAGAUGUAGCAUCGCGUAUAAUUAAUUCUUGUGUAGUAUUACAUAACAUGUGCAUUCAAGAAAAUGUACCACUACUGUGCCCAGAAGAUUAUGAUUUUGAUUUUGGAUUAGAUAUUAAUGAUAAUGUAAAUGAAAAUGUAGAACGGAACCGUAUUAAUCCA